UAGGGAAUCUUCGGCAAUGGACGAAAGUCUGACCGAGCAACGCCGCGUGAGUGAAGAAGGUUUUCGGAUCGUAAAACUCUGUUGUUAGAGAAGAACAAGGACGUUAGUAACUGAACGUCCCCUGACGGUAUCUAACCAGAAAGCCACGGCUAACUACGUGCCAGCAGCCGCGGUAAUACGUAGGUGGCAUGCGUUGUCCGGAUUUAUUGGGCGUAAAGCGAGCGCAGGCGGUUUCUUAAGUCUGAUGUGAAAGCCCCCGGCUCAACCGGGGAGGGUCAUUGGAAACUGGGAGACUUGAGUGCAGAAGAGGAGAGUGGAAUUCCAUGUGUAGCGGUGAAAUGCGUAGAUAUAUGGAGGAACACCAGUGGCGAAGGCGGCUCUCUGGUCUGUAACAGAAGCUGAGGCUCGAAAGCGUGGGGAGCAAACAGG
rnacentral:rRNA from 1 species